UUAACUCAUAUUUGUAUGGAGUUGGAACGUUUGCCGCUAGAGGUGCUGUUUCAGCUGCAUACAAAUUUGAGUUA
rnacentral:pre_miRNA from 1 species